rnacentral:rRNA from 1 species
AUCAUGGCUCAGAUUGAACGCUGGCGGAAUGCUUUACACAUGCAAGUCGAGCGGCAGCGCGGGGGCAACCCUGGCGGCGAGCGGCGAACGGGUGAGUAAUGUAUCGGAACGUACCCAGUCGUGGGGGAUAACUAUCCGAAAGGAUAGCUAAUACCGCAUACGUCCUGAGGGAGAAAGCGGGGGACCGAAAGGCCUCGCGCGAUUGGAGCGGCCGAUAUCGGAUUAGCUAGUUGGUGAGGUAAAGGCUCACCAAGGCGACGAUCCGUAGCUGGUCUGAGAGGACGACCAGCCACACUGGAACUGAGACACGGUCCAGACUCCUACGGGAGGCAGCAGUGGGGAAUUUUGGACAAUGGGGGCAACCCUGAUCCAGCCAUUCCGCGUGAGUGAAGAAGGCCUUCGGGUUGUAAAGCUCUUUCAGCAGGAACGAAACGGUGGUCCUUAAUACGGGCUGCUAAUGACGGUACCUGAAGAAGAAGCACCGGCUAACUACGUGCCGGCAGCCGCGGUAAUACGUAGGGUGCGAGCGUUAAUCGGAAUUACUGGGGGUAAAGCGUGCGCAGGCGGUUUGUUAAGAUAGGCGUGAAAUCCCCGGGCUCAACCUGGGAACUGCGUUUAUGACUGGCAGGCUAGAGUAUGGCAGAGGGGGGUGGAAUUCCACGUGUAGCAGUGAAAUGCGUA